AUUGCUUUCCAAAAUUAUACUUGAGACUUGUUGGGCGAUAUAUAAGGUUUUAAAAAUAACAAUCAAGUUACCCUCAUCGGAAAAUGAAUGGAGAAUAGCUGCAAAAUCUUUUCAAGAAUAAUGGCAAUUUGACAACUGUGUAGGUUGCAUGGACGGCAAGCAUAUUAUAGUCGAAAAACCGAACGGGACGGGAUCAUUGUUCUACAACUAUAAGGGUACAUUUAGUAUCGUAUUGUUUGCUAUCGUAAAUGCAAACUACGAAUUUAUUUAUGUUCAUACGGGUUCAGAUGGAAAUAUGUCAGAUGGAGGAAUACUGAAAGCUACCAGAUUCUAUGAAAAACUUAUCAACGAUGAUCUUAAUUUACCUGAAUCAUUACUACUACCAAGUACAAAUGUGUCAGUACCGUAUGUUUUUUUAGGAGAUAGUGCAUUUGCACUAGAAACAAAUAUAAUGAAACAAAAAAGAUUUUUAGAAA